rnacentral:tRNA from 1 species
GCCGCUAUCGUCUAACGGUUAGGACACCACGCUUUCAAUGUGGGAAUCCGGGUUCAAUUCCCGGUAGCGGUACCA